rnacentral:rRNA from 1 species
UUUACGGAGAGUUUGAUCCUGGCUCAGGAUGAACGCUGGCGGCGUGCUUAACACAUGCAAGUCGAACGGUGACAUGCAAGUCGAACGGUGAAGCCCAGCUUGCUGGGUGGAUCAGUGGCGAACGGGUGAGUAACACGUGAGCAACCUGCCCCUGACUCUGGGAUAAGCGCUGGAAACGGCGUCUAAUACUGGAUACGAACUGGAACCGCAUGGUUACUAGUUGGAAAGAUUUUUUGGUUGGGGAUGGGCUCGCGGCCUAUCAGCUUGUUGGUGAGGUAAUGGCUCACCAAGGCGUCGACGGGUAGCCGGCCUGAGAGGGUGACCGGCCACACUGGGACUGAGACACGGCCCAGACUCCUACGGGAGGCAGCAGUGGGGAAUAUUGCACAAUGGGCGGAAGCCUGAUGCAGCAACGCCGCGUGAGGGAUGACGGCCUUCGGGUUGUAAACCUCUUUUAGCAGGGAAGAAGCGAAAGUGACGGUACCUGCAGAAAAAGCGCCGGCUAACUACGUGCCAGCAGCCGCGGUAAUACGUAGGGCGCAAGCGUUAUCCGGAAUUAUUGGGCGUAAAGAGCUCGUAGGCGGUUUGUCGCGUCUGCUGUGAAAUCCCGAGGCUCAACCUCGGGUCUGCAGUGGGUACGGGCAGACUAGAGUGCGGUAGGGGAGAUUGGAAUUCCUGGUGUAGCGGUGGAAUGCGCAGAUAUCAGGAGGAACACCGAUGGCGAAGGCAGAUCUCUGGGCCGUAACUGACGCUGAGGAGCGAAAUCGUGGGGAGCGAACAGGAUUAGAUACCCUGGUAGUCCACGCCGUAAACGUUGGGCGUUAGAUGUUGGGACCAUUCCACGGUUUCCGUGUCGCAGCUAACGCAUUAAGCGC